ensembl:lncRNA
CCUAUGCUGCUCUGUACCAUCACUCAUUCAUAUAUCCUUAUGUACAUAUUCUUUAUCCCCUUACACUGUGUAUGACAGUAUUAUUAUUAUUAUUUUUUUUUUUUUGGAAUUGUUAGUUAGAUUACUUGCUCGUUAUUACUGCAUUGUCGGAACUAGAAGCACAAGCAUUUCGCUACACUCGCAUUAACAUCUGCUAACCAUGUGUAUGUGACAAAUAAAAUUUGAUUUGAUUUGAUUUGGUGUUCAGGCUAACUAGAGGAGGGCUAACUAGAGGAGGGGGGAGAGUGGUGGUCAGGCUAACUAGAAGAGGGGGGAGAGUGGUGGUCAGGUUAACUAGAGGAGGGUUAGGGGGAGGAGGGGGAGAAGUGGUGGUCAGGCUAACUAGAGGAGGGUUAGGGGGAGGAGGGGGAGAGUGGUGGUCAGGCUAACUAGAAGAGGGUUAGGGGGAGGAGGGGGAGAGUGGUUGUCAGGCUAACUAGAGGAGGGGGGAGAGUGGUGGUCAGGCUAACUAGAGGAGGGUUAGGGGGAGGGGGAGAGUGGUGGUCAGGCUAACUAGAGGAGGGUUAGGGGAGAGUGGUGGUCAGGCUAACUAGAAGAGGGUUAGGGGAGGGGGAGAGUGGUGGUCAGGCUAACUAGAAGAGGGUUAGGGGAG